UACGGGGGGGCAAGCGUUGUUCGGAAUUACUGGGCGUAAAGGGCUCGUAGGCGGCCAACUAAGUCAGACGUGAAAUCCCUCGGCUUAACCGGGGAACUGCAUCUGAUACUGGAUGGCUUGAGUUCGGGAGAGGGAUGCGGAAUUCCAGGUGUAGCGGUGAAAUGCGUAGAUAUCUGGAGGAACACCGGUGGCGAAGGCGGCAUCCUGGACCGACACUGACGCUGAGGCGCGAAAGCGUGGGGAGCAAACAGG
rnacentral:rRNA from 1 species